rnacentral:rRNA from 1 species
GAGUUUGAUCCUGGCUCAGAGCGAACGCUGGCGGCAGGCCUAACACAUGCAAGUCGAGCGGCCGUAGCAAUACGGCAGCGGCAGACGGGAGAGUAACACGUGGGAACGCGCCCUUCGGUUCGGAAUAACUCAGGGAAACUUGGGCUAAUACCGGAUACGCCCUUACGGGGAAAGAUUUAUUGCCGAAGGAACGGCCCGCGUCCGAUUAGCUCGUUGGUGAGGUAACGGCUCACCAAGGCGACGAUCCUUAGCUGGUCUGAGAGGAUGAACAGCCACACUGGGACUGAGACACGGCCCAGACUCCUACGGGAGGCAGCAGUAAGGAAUAUUGGUCAAUGGACGCAAGUCUGAACCAGCCAUGCCGCGUGAAGGAUGAAGGACCUCUGGAUUGUAAACUUCUUUUAUAUGGGAAGAAAUCCAUCUUUUCUUGGGUGGUUGACGGUACCGUAAACUAAGCACCGG